UUGCCAAAAGGGAAGGGUAGGAGGUCAGAGAUGCGGCCUGGGAUUCAGCCUUGCUUUUGCUUGGUGUUUUUCCCAGAUUGCAGGCCAACGUCGGUUUUGGGCACUGGAGAAGGGUAGGAGGAACGUGGCACCUCUCGGGGUGUGUUAUAGCCUCCUACUGGAUACAGCGACCGAGACCGAGGACAGCAGCGUACUCGCAAGAGCGGGCCUUCGGGCACCUUUACGCUUAGGGCGUUGGCAUAAUGGCCCUCUACCACCCGUCUUGAA
rnacentral:rRNA from 1 species